rnacentral:rRNA from 1 species
CGGACGGGUGAGUAACGCGUGGAUAACCUGCCUCACACAGGGGGAUAACAGUUAGAAAUGACUGCUAAUACCGCAUAAGCGCACAGUACCGCAUGGUACAGUGUGAAAAACUCCGGUGGUGUGAGAUGGAUCCGCGUCUGAUUAGGUAGUUGGUGGGGUAACGGCCCACCAAGCCGACGAUCAGUAGCCGACCUGAGAGGGUGACCGGCCACAUUGGGACUGAGACACGGCCCAA